UAAUACGGAGGGUGCAAGCGUUAUCCGGAAUCAUUGGGUUUAAAGGGUCCGUAGGCGGACUAUUAAGUCAGAGGUGAAAUCCCACAGCUCAACUGUGGAACUGCCUUUGAUACUGGUAGUCUUGAGUUAUAUGGAAGUAGAUAGAAUGUGUAGUGUAGCGGUGAAAUGCUUAGAGAUUACACGGAAUACCGAUUGCGAAGGCAGUCUACUACGUAUAUACUGACGCUAAGGGACGAAAGCGUGGGGAGCGAACAGGAUUAGAUACCCUGGUAGUCCACGCCGUAAACGAUGGACACUAGUUGUUGGAUUAUUUCAGUGACUAAGCGAAAGUGAUAAGUGUCCCACCUGGGGAGUACGAUCGCAAGAUUG
rnacentral:rRNA from 1 species